rnacentral:tRNA from 1 species
GCGGCCAUGGCGGAAUGGUAGACGCGUACGCUUGAGGUGCGUAUGGGGUAACCCGUGAAGGUUCAAGUCCUUUUGGCCGCACCA